CUCUCGGCGACGCGGCCGCUGCAUUGGUCGUUAAGAAGAUGACAACGGUUGGACUGGAGGGUGGAGGUUUAGGGAUAGAGAAGAGGGGAGGUGAAGAAAGAGGAGAGAAAAACAGCAACAGCAACAGCAAC
rnacentral:SRP_RNA from 1 species